rnacentral:ncRNA from 2 species
GGGUACUCUCGGGGCAGGGUGAAAUUCCCGACCGGCGGUGAAAGCCCGCGAGCCUUCCGAAAGUUUUUAAGUUUUUUGUAGGAAGGUUGAUCCGGUGGAAUUCCGGAGCCGACGGUGAAAGUCCGGAUGGGAGAGAGUACCA